rnacentral:lncRNA from 1 species
GCAAAUCAAGGCAAAGAGAAGAAAAGGAAAGACAAGGUCAACGGUGGUAGUAGCGGUAAUGGCAAUGGAAAACGGUAAUGACAUCCAUAUCAAUUUUAGCUAAUUCUCGUAGACACAACUUGUAAUUGGUGCUUAGUGAUGGGUAUAUUAUAUAUUAUAUAUUUAAUCUCAUUCUUAGUAUAUUUUGGUUAAUAUUUUCGAAGAAUUUUGAUAUUUUGAAUUAUAUUUCCAAUACAGGACUUUUGACUCUCUCUGGAACAAAACGUAAUCAAAUGGAAGAAUUUUGGAGUAAUUCCAGUUAGAGGACGUUUGUGAGUCACUUAGCUUGAUCGUAUCAAAAUUUUAGACUUUUCUACCAAGCGGUUAUUUUCUGCCAAUAAAAUAAAGGAGCAG